rnacentral:rRNA from 1 species
UUAAGCAUAUCAAUAAGCGGAGGAAAAGAAACCAACAGGGAUUGCCCUAGUAACGGCGAGUGAAGCGGCAAAAGCUCAAAUUUGAAAUCUGGCUUCGGCCCGAGUUGUAAUUUGUAGAGGAUGUUUCGGGCACCGCCCCGGCGUAAGUCCCUUGGAACAGGGCGUCAUAGAGGGUGAGAAUCCCGUCUGGCGUCGUGGUAGGGCCCAUGUGAAACUCCUUCGACGAGUCGAGUUGUUUGGGAAUGCAGCUCAAAAUGGGUGGUAAAUUUCAUCUAAAGCUAAAUACUGGCCAGAGACCGAUAGCGCACAAGUAGAGUGAUCGAAAGAUGAAAAGCACUUUGAAAAGAGAGUUAAACAGUAUGUGAAAUUGUUGAAAGGGAAGCGCUUACAACCAGACUUGAGCCCGUCGGUUCCCCCUCGCUUCUGCGUGGGCUACUCCGGCGGGUCCAGGCCAACAUCGGUUCGGGUGGCUGGUCAAAGGCCCCGGGAAUGUACCUCACCUUCGGGUUAGGCUUAUAGCCCGGGGUGUCAUGCGGCCUACCUGGACCGAGGAACGCGCUUCGGCUCGGAUGUUGGCGUAAUGGUUGUCAGCGACCCGUCUUGAAACACGGACCAAGGAGUCGAAGAGCUAUGCGAGUGUUUGGGUGUCAAACCCGUACGCGUAAUGAAAGUGAACGGAGGUAGGAAGCUUCGGCUGCACUAUCGACCGAUCCUGAUGUUCUCGGAUGGAUUUGAGUAAGAGCAUAACUCUCCGGACCCGAAAGAUGGUGAACUAUGCGGUGAACUAUGCCUGAAUAGGGUGAAGCCAGAGGAAACUCUGGUGGAGGCUCGCAGCGGUUCUGACGUGCAAAUCGAUCGUCAAAUUUGGGUAUAGGGGCGAAAGACUAAUCGAACCAUCUGGUAGCUGGUUCCUGCCGAAGUUUCCCUCAGGAUAGCAGUAACGUUUUCAGUUUUAUGAGGUAAAGCGAAUGAUUAGAGGCCUUGGGGUUGAAACAACCUUAACCUAUUCUCAAACUUUAAAUAUGUAAGAAGUCCUUGUUACUUAGUUGAACGUGGACAUUUGAAUGUAUCGUUACUAGUGGGCCAUUUUUGGUAAGCAGAACUGGCGAUGCGGGAUGAACCGAACGUGAGGUUAAGGUGCCGGACUGCACGCUCAUCAGACACCACAAAAGGUGUCAAUGCAUCUAGACAGCCGGACGGUGGCCAUGGAAGUCGGAAUCCGCUUAGGAGUGUGUAACAACUCACCGGCCGAAUGCAUUGGCCCUGAAAAUGGAUGGCGCUUAAGCGUGCGACCUAUACCUCGCCGUCAGGGUUGACAUGAUGCCCUGACGAGUAGGCAGGCGUGGAGGUUUGUGACGAAGCCUUGGGGGUGACCCCGGGUCGAACAACCUCUAG